rnacentral:rRNA from 1 species
CAGUAGCCGCGGGAAUACAGAGGGUGCGAGCGUUAAUCGGAUUUACUGGGCGUAAAGCGUGCGUAGGCGGCUUCUUAAGUCGGAUGUGAAAUCCCUGAGCUUAACUUAGGAAUUGCAUUCGAUACUGGGAAGCUAGAGUAUGGGAGAGGAUGGUAGAAUUCCAGGUGUAGCGGUGAAAUGCGUAGAGAUCUGGAGGAAUACCGAUGGCGAAGGCAGCCAUCUGGCCUAAUACUGACGCUGAGGUACGAAAGCAUUGGGAGCAAACAGGAUUAGAUACCCGUGUAGUCCCUGUCUCUUAUAA